rnacentral:rRNA from 1 species
CAGAGUUCAUCGUUCACCUUUUUACUUUAAACGAGUGUAUACUCGAGACGACUAAAAUGACGUUCUUACGAGUAAAUAGAUCAACAAACAAAACGAGAAUACUUGGUCCACAGUUGGUCGCGUUUAUCUCUCCCUCCCUCCUUGACCCUCUCUCACCGGCCGACUACGGGUUCAACAUAACUUUGGUACGGAAAAUCCAGUGGGGCUUUACUAAAUAGCAUCAACAGUAAUAAAAUAAACUUUUUAUAUUGUAAAAAAACGGGCAGACGUGUUUUAUCUCUUUUGUAGUUUUUCAGACUUUCACUGUGAGAACAUUUGUGUUGUCACGGACCCGGUAACGUAAACCAGGUAAACACCCCAGUCCUGACUAACUUCUGAUCGAGUAUAAAUUUUACGUGUGUUACAAAAGACGUCGGCAUAAGUACUUUUCCACCUUUAUUCACUCGGCUUUCUCUGUAAAACAUAAAACAUCCUCGUAGGUUGACACACUUGACGAAAGUCAGUGGUAGUACUACGGUAUACAAAGACCGUUCGACGUCUGAAACUGGAGUAAGAUAGUGGAGACUUUGUCACAAUGAGAAACGUUUAAUUGAGGGUAGACUAGUGAAUGAGCAGGAAGAGUCCACGCAGCCCCCGACCGUACGAGGAAAGGAAGCCGCGACAGAGCUAGGCCGAACGGAGACACGCGGCGACGUAGAACGCCGCCGGGAGCCGAAGAGGCCGCUCGCUGACAAGGUCGAGCCCCUCCGCGCUGGGACCGACAAGGACACGAGCCACCCCGUCUGAUUAAAGACGGGUCUAGGCCACGCGCGGCUACACCAGAGCAUUCUAGGCCCGUCGUGUGCGGGACUUCUACGGCAGUACCAAACAACCAACGAGUACGAGGCCUACGUUUUAAGACCCAGCUGAACCAGCUGCGGCCACCGUUGCCGCCGACACCGACAGCAAAAGGAGCGCCUCCCCGGGCGGCACCUCGACAAAAAGUCGGCGUUUGGAGGACAAAGCAACAAAAGGCCCACUUUUGGAUACCAGCCCGAACGGCCUAACCCACCGCCACCACAGAGACCGUAGUAAGGGAAGAACCUCCGCGGUAGAACCUCUGUGCUUGAAGCCGAUCACAACCACACACACCUACUUCCUCCACGCCGACCACCAGACAAACACGCCGGCUGACCCCAGCUGCCACCACACACUACACCACCACCUCACCACCACCACGCCGGCCGAACGCGACCACACGUGCCACUUCGCUAGGCCCACAUCUGAGCCGAGGAACUACGGGAAGCCGAAGCGGCCGCCACGGCGACAACACAACAUCGGAGCCGACGCACACUGAGAAGCAGGCCCACACCUGAGCCAGCGAGUAACGGGAAGCCGACGUGGUUAUCGGAACUCCGUGGUACCUACCAGAGCCAACUAACCUCGAGAAGCAGAUGCCACCACCACAAGAGCACGUCGAGUCCAACCAUUACCAACGAGUUCUGGGAGAGUACCAACGGUAACACAACGCCGCUCGAAGCACGAGAACCACAACGGAGUCGAGUAGAAACGAGCUCCUACCGCGUUCUACGGAAAGUUUGAACGAUUAGCAAGGCUAAAGGACACCGCCUCGGGGUCAGUUCCAAGCACAGACCCUACUGUGAGCAACUAACACCUACGAGGACUCAACACGGCACCCCCGACCAUACGAGCGGCUACACAAGCCGACAAACGUUUCAGGACCAUAACACUAGAGGGCUGCUGUGGGGUGUAGAUGAACGCAGAGAGUACCACUACCAGAAUACGGAUGAUCGAACCAGUACGGAACAUGCCAAAAGCCGGGCCAAAAGGAAUAUUUGCCCAGUUAAAGAAGUCCAAAAGCUAGGCCAAAAGGAAUAUUUGACCUAGUGAGGAGACCGUAAAACCGGUGAAACUCAUUAUAUAAGUCCACCUCCUUGAGGAGGGGGCCACUAAGAGUUUUUUUUUUUUUUUUCGACUGUAGCGUCCUCGAUGACUGUGGGCAGGACUCCACAAGGACAGCGUCUAUUCAAACUCCACAACCCUACCUCUAGAGCCUAGGACGGAAUGACACUAAUACAAAAAAUGAAUGUUCUUGUCUUCGUGGCAGCAUCGUAGUCGUUCUUCUUAGUGGACCGUGUAUUUUUUGUAGUCGCACUUACAAUUAAACCGGUUGUCUCCACGUGCCUCCUCAAUAGACGUAGGGGUAGGAAUCAGAUCUACAUCAAACUUGGAAAAACGACUAUACGUCAACAAUUUACCCUAUACAUUUCACGUCAGUCCCUGCACCUCAAAGAU